rnacentral:sRNA from 1 species
UAGUACAAUUACUAAGCCAUUUCUACAGACUUAUUAACACUACGACAUAUGUACAUACAUAACGCGCUGAUAUGAAAUAUGGUUUUUGGGAAGAAUAAGUGGCAAAUUAACUGUGUUUAGUAAUUCGAAAUUUAUUAGAAUGAGAACAGAAUACCCAUGGCUGGCUUUACGAAAGCUAAAAUGCUUCAAUGAACUGAAAUGAAAGGCAAAUGUAUAUAAUGAAAAUAUUAUAAAUCGGAUGGCAAUGCAAAGGAGGACGCCGGUUGUUUAUUAAUACGAAUGGGGCACGCCAAGCUGAGCAUCAUUCAAAUGAUUGGCAAACGAAAUCGUAUUGAGGGAGAGCCAUGCCUCAUUGGCACUUAGAGCAGCGGGGCGGGGGGAAUGCAUUUCAAUUUAAGUAUCUAUGAAGUUGAAGCCGACUAUUUCGACUACCGAAAUUGUGCAAAUCAAUAUGAAGCGAGGUGCCGAGCAGUGACUAUUACCUGCAUUCAGGUUCUGGGCAGAAACAGACACUAAAUUGCCAUACGACAUCCCUGGUUUCAAUUGGAUGGUAUCCAUUCAAUAUGUGGGAUGUUUUUAGCACAAUCUUUUCCGUCGACUGAUUCUUUUGUGUUCCUCUAUUGAAAUGGAUCUUUGCCUUCCGCGCUGCCCCUUUGCUGUCUGUCUGCCACACGCAAGCAAAGUGUCGCAAAGUGUUGCGAAUGAUCAAAGCGAAAGACGGACACUUGAAAUCUGCUGCAGCAGUGAGUGCAGUGCCAAAGCGGAAACUGCCUUCAGUUAUGGCACAAAGCGACAGCAAAACAGCAACUAGAAUCAAGGAGAAGAGACAGCAGCCGCACCAGGAGGAGGCGUCGCUACUUGACACCUAGUCGGGUGACUCCCCAAGUAGACCGCGGGUCUCGUGGGGCUAGCGGGAGCCGCGGUACUCGCGAGGCAGCCAACAAGUGUUUAGCAUUUUGAUUUCAGUGCAAUUAAAACGCUCAGCUCAGUUGGCAGCGCUCGUCUACGGUCUUUGUUGUUGUUGUCGCCGCCUCCA